CGUUAGAUUCCGGUGAACAACUUUUCCUUGACUAUUUUUUGUUAGACUUUUACUGUCUAAGUCAUAUUCCCAUUCUGGCUGUACGAGCGAAUGAGCGAAACCAAGGAACCCGAAAAACUUACCAGGCAGGAGAGACUCCUCCUUAUUUUAAAAAAGCAAACCUAUACUAUUUGGGCUUGCUGGAAUUAGUGGGAGCGCUAUAGGCUUGCUCUACUGCUAUAAAAAAGAUUACUCUAAAGGCAUGCAAUACUUUGGAAGAUCCCGAGUGCUCUUUCAGUUUUUCACUGUACUUGCGCUUAUUAACACUUUCCAGCAAAUCGGACCAGUCGAGUUGUAUGACGAUAUUAAAGAAAAAGUGGGAUCAAAACUCUUUAGAAAAAAAGACCCUAGUCCGUCAGAAGAACCCCACGAAAAUAG